GAUGAACGCUGGCGGCGUGCCUAAUACAUGCCAGUCGAGCGAACAGACGAGGAGCUUGCUCCUCUGACGUUAGCGGCGGACGGGUGAGUAACACGUGGAUAACCUACCUAUAAGACUGGGAUAACUUCGGGAAACCGGAGCUAAUACCGGAUAAUAUAUUGAACCGCAUGGUUCAAUAGUGAAAGACGGUUUUGCUGUCACUUAUAGAUGGAUCCGCGUCGCAUUAGCUAGUUGGUAAGGUAACGGCUUACCAAGGCAACGAUGCGUAGCCGACCUGAGAGGGUGAUCGGCCACACUGGAACUGAGACACGGUCCAGACUCCUACGGGAGGCAGCAGUAGGGAAUCUUCCGCAAUGGGCGAAAGCUUGACGGAGCAACGCCGCGUGAGUGAUGAAGGUCUUCGGAUCGUAAAACUCUGUUAUUAGGGAAGAACAAAUGUGUAAGUAACUAUGCACGUCUUGACGGUACCUAAUCAGAAAGCCACGGCUAACUACGUG
rnacentral:rRNA from 1 species